UUUUGUUGUGCCAACUCACACAGGAUGAAUUCCAAGAGCAUUACAGACAGACAGGACGUUUUCCGGGUCCCAUUACAAGCCCUCCGCGCCGACCUUGGGCCCUGCUGAACUGGCUCUUCUGGGUCUGUUUGCUGGUCUACCCUCUCUGCAUGUUACUGCUCCAAAUGCUGCUAUCAGAAUCCACCUUCACUGUCGUCUGUACAUUUGUCUUCUGUCUAGCAGUGUCAGUUGGUAUCCGCUGGAUGAUUGGACAGACCGAGAUUGACAAGGGUUCGAACUACGGGAAUAAAGAGAUGCAAAUAAACAAUAACUGAGACUUCCACCAGGGCAACAAGAUCAUGCUACUUUACAGUCAUGAGGGCAUUUUCACAACGGGAACUGGCAUUAGCCAAGUGCAGCCACCUUCAUAAGUGAAAUUUGAGGAAGUCGCCACAUGAAAGAGCUGUUUGAAUAAUUUAAGAUGCUUCUCUGUUUUGAUUUACAUCGUUUUUUUUUUUAAAUAGACAAGUAGGCCAUUUAAAAAAAACUGUCUGUUUAUUAAUAUUCUUUUUAAAUAUUGCAAACACUGUUGGAGGAGCAGAGAACCAGCAGUUGAUGCCUGUGUAAGAGCAUGUUUGUCCACCCAUCCGAGUGUAGCAGCAGAAAGGCAGAGUCAGACUGGCCUCUUCCCUCUCAUUGGUUGAUUAUGCUCUUGUACACAUAGAUGGUAAAGGCACGCCAUUGGCCAGCACGAGGCUGAGCCAACGCAGCACAACUACUUAUAGGCUUAAAUAUGACUUGUUAACAGUGGGCUCUGCAGCAAGGCAAACAAAAAUACAGUUUUAACAAAA